GACGAACGCUGGCGGCGUGCCUAAUACAUGCAAGUCGAACGCAGUGGGGACGGGUGAGUAACACGUGGGUAACCUCCCAUCAGAGGGGAUAACACUAGGAAACAGGUGCUAAACCGAUACUGAUGGAUGGACCCGCGGGGCAUUAGCUAGUUGGUGGUGGAACGGCUUACCAAAGCCACGAUGCAUAGCCGUCCUGCGAUGGUGUUCGCCCACACUGGGACUGAGACACGGCCCAGACUCCUACGGGAUGCAGCAGUAGGGAAUCUUCGGCAAUGGACGAAAGUCUGACCGAGCAACGCCGCGUGAGUGAAGAAGGUGUUCGGAUCGUAAAACUCUGUUGUUAGAGAAGCGGUAUCUAACCAGAAAGCCACGGCUAACUACGUGCCAGCAGCCGCGGUAAUUC
rnacentral:rRNA from 1 species